CAGCAACUCACUAUAAAUUCAAUAUAAUAUCAAAAUCUAAGUGACAAACAAAACAACUCACUAUAAAUUCAAUACAAUGUAAAAAUCUAAGUGAGAAACAAAAGUGAAGAAAUUAAUAUCAUGGUGAAAUCUAAAUGAAUAUUUUAAUCACAACACAAAUUAAUUACGUAAACAACAAUAAUCUCAAAUGGAAAUUAGAAUUGAAAUAUUACCCCCACAGAACAUAUACACUGCUGCAUCCGGUAAUUGUUGCAUAAUCAAAACAGUAUGGAAUCCAGCGAUGUCGCGACAUGAACAAUAUCAGAUCCAAACCUUGAGUCAAACUCAUAACCUGCAUAAAAACAGACAACAAUCCAAACAGAAUAGAAACACAAAGUUCACAUAUUCGAAAUCGAAAAAGAAGAGUUGAAUUAAAAAUGGGAAUUCAGAAUCGAGUUUUGCUGUAAGUUACUACACAAUGGUGAUGUUCAAAAGAGAUUCAAGCCCUCUUCUCAAGUUGAGUUAGCUCAAAAUCAACAUUAUGGUUCACCGAGAUUAUUUCGUAAGGCCGACACAAGCUGUAAGUUACUACACAAUGGUGAUGUUCAAAAGAGAUUCAAGCCCUCUUCUCAAGUUGAGUUAGCUCAAAAUCAACAUUAUGGUUCACCGAGAUUAUUUCGUAAGGCCGACACAGUUUUCAGAUCGACCAACAAGGGCAUCGUUCCCGUUCAAUUAAACUGCU
rnacentral:lncRNA from 1 species